rnacentral:rRNA from 2 species
UAGUGGCGAACGGGUGAGUAACACGUGGGCAAUCUGCCCUUCACUCUGGGACAAGCCCUGGAAACGGGGUCUAAUACCGGAUAACACCUGCCCGGGCAUCCGGGUGGGUUAAAAGCUCCGGCGGUGAAGGAUGAGCCCGCGGCCUAUCAGCUUGUUGGUGAGGUAGUGGCUCACCAAGGCGACGACGGGUAGCCGGCCUGAGAGGGCGACCGGCCACACUGGGACUGAGACACGGCCCAGACUCCUACGGGAGGCAGCAGUGGGGAAUAUUGCACAAUGGGCGAAAGCCUGAUGCAGCGACGCCGCGUGAGGGAUGACGGCCUUCGGGUUGUAAACCUCUUUCAGCAGGGAAGAAGCGAAAGUGACGGUACCUGCAGAAGAAGCGCCGGCUAACUACGUGCCAGCAGCCGCGGUAAUACGUAGGGCGCAAGCGUUGUCCGGAAUUAUUGGGCGUAAAGAGCUCGUAGGCGGCUUGUCACGUCGGGUGUGAAAGCCCGGGGCUUAACCCCGC